rnacentral:rRNA from 1 species
CUUGGUCAUUUAGAGGAAGUAAAAGUCGUAACAAGGUCUCCGUUGGUGAACCAGCGGAGGGAUCAUUACAGAGUUGCAAAACUCCCAACCCUUUGUGAACGAACCUACCAGUUGCCUCGGCGGCGAGCCUUUCAGGCGGACCGCCGAAGGAAUACAAACUCUUUGCAUUAUAGUAUCUCUGAUUACUUAUUCAAUAAGUUAAAACUUUCAACAACGGAUCUCUUGGUUCUGGCAUCGAUGAAGAACGCGGCGAAAUGCGAUAAGUAAUGUGAAUUGCAGAAUUCAGUGAAUCAUCGAAUCUUUGAACGCACAUUGCGCCCGCUAGUAUUCUGGCGGGCAUGCCUGUUCGAGCGUCAUUUCAACCAUCAAGCCCUAGGCUUGUGUUGGAGCCCUGCGGCUGCCGCAGCCUCCUAAAAACAGUGGCGGGCUCGCUAUCACACCGAGUGCAGUAGUUUACUCUUCGCUCAGGGCGUGUGGCGGGUGCUGGCCGUGAAACCCCCUACUUCUUAAGGUUGACCUCGGAUCAGGUAGGAAUACCCGCUGAACUUAAGCAUAUCAAUAAGCGGAGGA